CUUUCCAGUGUUAAUCCCUUCACUGCCUUCAUUUUCAGCCUCCCUUAAUACUUCUCUUCUGCAGCUCUCCAAAUGUCUUAGAAGCCUCUUUGUUCCUUCUGCCUCUUCAAGCAAGAGCAACAGAUGUUUCCUGUCUGUUUCUGAAAGGCAGAGAUCUUUGGGGUAGAAAUGGUCAAAACUUUGUUCUGUCCGGCUUAUGAGUGAGACAGUUUGUGAAAAUCCAACUGAGGACCCUGUUCUUGAACGCUGAACACAGAAAUGGGGCAGAAUUAACUGGCCUGAUAUCCCUUUAAGAGAUCUUUACAUCUGGGACUGUUAAGUUUCUGCUUGGCAACACACUUUUUGAUAUGUCCAUUUAGUGUGUGCAGAUGACUGGUACAUAGCAGGCACGUGAAAUAUGAAUUAAAAAUAUGAAUCCCAAGAUUCAAAACCAGUUUGAGAAACAGCAUGGAAGUUUUGUAUGUGCUAGGAAAGGUCCAAGACAAGCUACAAACAAGUACCUGAGCUUGGAGUACAAACCUUCCUGAUUCUCUUCAGCCAGGUAAGCAUAAAUACUUGCAUGAAAUUUUUAGACUUUUUAGUUCUAUUCUCUCUCAUUCUUUUCAUUUCAAGGACUACAGAAAGCAUGCUAAUGGCAGU
rnacentral:lncRNA from 1 species